UCCUCCACCAGCAAUGCAGAGUGUGACUGCACUCCAGGGUUUCACUGCCUGGGGGCAGGAUGCAGCAUGUGUGAACAGGAUUGUAAACAAGGUCAAGAACUGACAAAAAAAGGUUGUAAAGACUGUUGCUUUGGGACAUUUAACGAUCAGAAACGUGGCAUCUGUCGACCCUGGACAAACAUCAGAGUGGCUGACGAAUGGAAUCAUGAUUCACAAGAAAAGUAUUGACUAUUUUCUCGGACUUAGCUGAAUUCUGUCUUUGGAAAGUGGCUUUUUUAAAAAGCUGUUCUUUGGAUGGAAAGUCUGUGCUUGUGAAUGGGACGAAGGAGAGGGACGUGGUCUGUGGACCAUCUCCAGCCGACCUCUCUCCGGGAGCAUCCUCUGUGACCCCGCCUGCCCCUGCGAGAGAGCCAGGACACUCUCCGCAGAUCAUCUCCUUCUUUCUUGCGCUGACGUCGACUGCGUUGCUCUUCCUGCUGUUCUUCCUCACGCUCCGUUUCUCUGUUGUUAAACGGGGCAGAAAGAAACUCCUGUAUAUAUUCAAACAACGUAAGAUUAACAUAAUCAUAUUACAGCUCUGGCAA
rnacentral:lncRNA from 1 species